ACAAUGGGCGCAAGCCUGAUCCAGCCAUGCCGCGUGAGUGAUGAAGGCCUUAGGGUCGUAAAGCUCUUUCGCCAGGGAUGAUAAUGACAGUACCUGGUAAAGAAACCCCGGCUAACUCCGUGCCAGCAGCCGCGGUAAUACGGAGGGGGUUAGCGUUGUUCGGAAUUACUGGGCGUAAAGCGCGCGUAGGCGGGUUGUUAAGUUAGAGGUGAAAUCCCGGGGCUCAACCCCGGAACUGCCUUUAAUACUGGCAACCUAGAGUUCGAGAGAGGUGAGUGGAAUUCCGAGUGUAGAGGUGAAAUUCGUAGAUAUUCGGAGGAACACCAGUGGCGAAGGCGGCUCACUGGCUCGAUACUGACGCUGAGGUGCGAAAGUGUGGGGAGCAAACAGGAUUAGAUACCCUGGUAGUCCACACCGUAAACGAUGAAUGCCAGUCGUCGGGUAGCAUGCU
rnacentral:rRNA from 1 species